rnacentral:rRNA from 1 species
GACGAACGCUGGCGGCGUGCCUAAUACAUGCAAGUAGAACGCUGAAGGAGGAGCUUGCUCUUCUGGAUGAGUUGCGAACGGGUGAGUAACGCGUAGGUAACCUGCCUGGUAGCGGGGGAUAACUAUUGGAAACGAUAGCUAAUACCGCAUAAUAGUAGAUGUUGCAUGACAUUUACUUAAAAGGUGCAAUUGCAUCACUACCAGAUGGACCUGCGUUGUAUUAGCUAGUUGGUGGGGUAACGGCUCACCAAGGCGACGAUACAUAGCCGACCUGAGAGGGUGAUCGGCCACACUGGGACUGAGACACGGCCCAGACUCCUACGGGAGGCAGCAGUAGGGAAUCUUCGGCAAUGGACGGAAGUCUGACCGAGCAACGCCGCGUGAGUGAAGAAGGUUUUCGGAUCGUAAAGCUCUGUUGUAAGAGAAGAACGAGUGUGAGAGUGGAAAGUUCACACUGUGACG